rnacentral:pre_miRNA from 17 species
GGGUCUCUCUUGCUAGACCAGAUUGAGCCUGGGAGCUCUCUGACUAGCAGAGGAACCCAC